rnacentral:rRNA from 1 species
AUGGAGCCCGACCGCGCUGGGACUGACGAACGGCAUCGCGCCCGAGACGCAGCUCCCUGGCGGUUCCUCGGACGAGGACGAGCGCGACGGGAACACAUCUCGUCGCCGGUGAACGCCGCUGCGGUGGCAUGCAUGGAGGUGGUGUCGGCCAUGGGCUCUCCAGCUCUCCGCCAUUUUCAGUAUCGGCAAGAUUGGGGAUUUAUUUCUCUAGUCUCUCUCCUUAUCUGUUCGGCUGUGGACCAGGGAAUCAAGGCACUACCCAACGUGGCCAUGUGCACUCUGCCUUACGUGGCCAGGCCAUGUGCAUGCUGCAGCGAAUUACCAGCAACCCGUGUAUUUGUUUAUUUUUCUACUAGUUGCUUGAUCGUUUCACUAGUACUAAUACUAGUUCACUUAUUAGCAACAGUAGUUCUAGCGGUGUUCUAUUCCUGUUUUAGACUAAAUUUACUAGAACAUGUUUUCUGCGAUUGA